ensembl:snRNA U6 U6 spliceosomal RNA
GUAUUCACUUUGGUAGCAUAUUUACUAAAAUUGGAAUGAUACAGAGAAUUUAGCUUUGUCCCUGUACAAGGAUGACAUUUAAAUUCAUGAAGCAUUCUAUAUGUUU